GACAGAGGGUGCAAACGUUGUUCGGAAUUACUGGGCGUAAAGCGCGUGUAGGCGGCCCUGCAAGUCGGAUGUGAAAUCCCACGGCUCAACCGUGGAAGUGCAUUCGAAACUGCAGGGCUAGAGUCCUGGAGAGGAAGGUGGAAUGCUUGGUGUAGAGGUGAAAUUCGUAGAUAUUAGGAAGAACACCAGUGGCGAAGGCGGCUCACUGGCCCGGUACUGACGCUGAGGCGCGAAAGCGUGGGGAGCAAACAGG
rnacentral:rRNA from 1 species